rnacentral:rRNA from 1 species
AAUGAACGCUGGCGGUAUGCCUAACACAUGCAAGUCGAACGGCAGCACAGUAAGAUCUUGCUCUUACGGGUGGCGAGUGGCGGACGGGUGAGGAAUACAUCGGAAUCUACUUUUUCGUGGGGGAUAACGUAGGGAAACUUACGCUAAUACCGCAUACGACCUACGGGUGAAAGCAGGGGAUCUUCGGGCCUUGCGCGAUUGAAUGAGCCGAUGUCGGAUUAGCUAGUUGGCGGGGUAAAGGCCCACCAAGGCGACGAUACGUAGCUGGUCUGAGAGGGUGGUCAGCCACACUGGAACUGAGACACGGUCCAGACUCCUACGGGAGGCAGCAGUGGGGAAUCUUGGACAAUGGGCGCAAGCCUGAUCCAGCCAUACCGCGUGGGUGAAGAAGGCCUUCGGGUUGUAAAGCCCUUUUGUUGGGAAAGAAAAGCAGCAGGUUAAUACCCCGCUGUUCUGACGGUACCCAAAGAAUAAGCACCGGCUAACUUCGUG